AGUGUUUAAAAGCUUUUAGGCAGAAUUCAAUUCUUAUUCUCCGCCAGAGAAUUCACAGUAGGAAAAAGUCCUAUAAAUGCAGUGAAUAUGCAAGGAUAAUCAUCAGGAGCUCUAAACAUAAAAGAAUCAAUAGUAGAGACAAAUCCUAGGGAUAUAGUGUCUAUGGGAAAAACUUUUACUUGGAGCUCAAACUGUGUAAACUUCAAGAUUAUUCACAGUAGAGAGAAGCCCUUUGAGUGUCAUCUAUGCAUCAGGGCCUUAAUUUAGGCCUCAGGCCUGAUUAUGCAUCAGCAAUCUAUAGCAGAGAAAAACUUUAUGAAUGUCAUGCAUAUGACAAGCCUUAACCAGGACAACCUUAUUAAUCACCAGAAAA
rnacentral:lncRNA from 1 species